GGCGACGUAGCUCAGUGGUAGAGCAGGGGACUCAUAAGCCCUUGGUCGGUAGUCCGAAUCUACCCGUCGCCA
rnacentral:tRNA from 1 species